GCCGUGAUCUUAUAGUGGUCAGUACUCUGCGUUGUGGCCUCGGAAAUCCUGGUUCAAAUCCCGGUCAUGGCG
rnacentral:tRNA from 1 species